rnacentral:lncRNA from 1 species
CAUUGGAGAAGCAGAACAGUGUCAACAACUUAAAAGUGGACACACACACACACACACACAGAGACACACACACACACAUCACACACACACACACACAUACAUCACACACACACACCACACACACACAUCACACACACACACAGACACACACAUACACAUCACACACAUCACACACACACAUCACACACACACAUCACACACACACACACACACACACACACACACACACACACACACACAUCACACACACACACACACACACAUCACACACACACAUCACACACACACACACAUCACACACACACACACAUCACACACACACACAUCACACACACACACACAUCACACACACACACAUCACACACACACACACACACACACACACACACACAUCACACACACACACACAUCACACACACACACAUCACACACACACACAUCACACACACACAUCACACACACACACACACACAUCACACACACACAUCACACACACACACACACACACACACACACACACACACACACACACAUCACACACACACACAUCACACACACACACACAUCACACACACACACAUCACACACACACAUCACACACACACAUCACACACACACACAUCACACACACACACACAUCACACACACACACAUCACACACACACACAUCACACACACACAUCACACACACACAUCACACACACACAUCACACACACACACAUCACACACACACAUCACACACACACAUCACACACACACAUCACACACACACACAUCACACACACACAUCACACACACACACAUCACACACACACAUCACACACACACACACACAUCACACACACACAUCACACACACACACACACACACACACACAUCACACACACACACACACACACACAUCACACACACACACAUCACACACACACACACACAUCACACACACACAUCACACACACACACACACACACACACAUCACACACACACACACAUCACACACACACACACACACACACACACACACACACACACACACACAUCACACACACACACACAACACACACACACACACACACACACACAUCACACACACACAUCACACACACACACACACACAUCACACACACACACAUCACACACACACAUCACACACACACAUCACACACACACACACACACACACACAUCACACACACACACACACACACACACACACACACACACACAUCACACACACACACACACAUACACACACACACACAUCACACACACACACAUACACACACACACACACACACACACACACACCAUAU